GCCUUCGUAGUGUAGUGGUCAGCACGCUCGAUGCGAAUUCGAGAGGUCUGUGGUUCGAGUCCUCGGCGAGGGCG